rnacentral:lncRNA from 1 species
GAAGAAGAAGAACAAGAAGACGUACCUCUGUUCAUUUUCAGGACAUGGAUGGAAUAAAUGUUUCAGAGUUUAAGCCAUUCCUGAUACGACUUUCGCCAUCUCGCCCAUUUUCAAGGGUGAGGUGUUAUUUCUGUCUUCAAUAUGAAACCUUGCUCAGAGAAGAUUACCCAGUUUACCUUUUUAAAAACAAAAAGACGACAAAAAUUCGGACCUGUCUCAAAUUUUAAUCCGUUUAUAUUUGGGCAAGUGGAUAACCAGGUGUCCAAGAGCACUCCCUUUCUCGCGCUGGAUGUUCUCCAAACUUGAACCUUAGGGUCAGGUGCCAAUUUAUCAAUCCUAUAAAGCACAAUUGUUGUCGUCUAUUAUCAUCAUCAGAAUGAAAACACGAAGGAUGAGGACAAAGUCGACGAAACCAACACACACGACAAUCUCACCAACACCAGCAGCGCUCACGACUCGGAAAAGGGUGACAUUGUAUGGCUCUUUUCAUCUAUGCAGACGGUCCGUUUGUUAAGAAGGUCUCAAGGUUGUCUUCAUGCAGCUUCUUUCGUGGCUAAUUCUUCCUGUGCUUGAAGCGCAGAUUAGAGGGUGACAACAAGUACAAUAAAUCAUUUUGUUAGUCCGCCCCCCGUACGCCUGUCUGUCAACGCUCUCUGGCCCCGCCUCCUGACGUCCCCAAGUGUGGGAGGAAAGAGAGAGUCGGCUGGCAGUGGCGGUCCAGGGGGGCCUGAGGGGGUGCUGUAUGAAUCGUCUGAUAAGCCCCUGGCUCUCAAGCGUCAAGCAACACCCCGCUCCAUGGCCCCCGUUUCUCUCGCCUCUUGGGCUGGGCAAUGAGUCGCUCAAACAAAAUCCAGAUAAAAUGUUAGUGCACCUCUUUUGCAGUUCAAUGUGUUGUGAACGGCCUCGGAAAAUGGGUUAGAACCACUUCGAGAAACGGGUUAGAACCACGUCAACAAAUGGGUGCACUCACUUCGGCAAAAAGGUCCAGAAAGAGAGUUUAAGAGUCUGAAUUCGGAUAAUGUUUCAUUGAGAAUUAUCCGGUUAUUCGGAUAGGUUAACCGGAUUUUGCCCACCACUACUCGCCUCACGCCGGCCAAGUUGUUAACUCCUUGAAAGCCGCGCGGUUCUGGUCAUCAAGUCGCCGACUCUGGCCUUAUAUAUGACGUAAUGUUUUGGGACGGCAUUUCAACAACAGAAGCGUAACUUCGUUAUUCACAAAGAUCUUUCACUUCUGAUUUCUUGAACUUAAUCUUUAAAAAGGCACACAACAACAACGUGCGUAAUGUGAACUACGUAAAUUCGUGUUUGUGAUUUCUGUAUGAUGGUGUUGUUAAAAGUGUCCCCAACGUUACCUUCGAUCUGUGGCUGCUACUGAUCAAACGAUAAAAGUCUCCACGACGUCAGUAAAGAGUUAACACUCCAACAGAAAGGAACUGAUAAUAAAAUCGUCAACAGUCGAUCACAGCUGAUUGCCAAUCACUCGGCGUGCGUCCUGGCAUGGUUUAUGCGCGACUUCCUUCCCGUCCCUCUCCCUCUGUGUCGGCCGUGGGUGGUACAGGCUACUACACAGACGUAGUAUAAUACUGGUGUGUAUGUGUGUGUGCAUAGAUAUAGCAUAUUAUCUGUGUGUGCGAGGAGUGACGCGACGCGCUGUUGUUUUGAUUACCAGUUAUUGCGGUGUUCGUGUGAUAUAACAGGUGUAUGGACUAUACGUCUGACCUAAAGAAUUCAUCACUUUUUCAAACGAAGGAAAGGAUAUCAAGGGAGACACAACUUUUGAGGCACCUCCUGCAGAGUCCUCGCAAGCUAGCAAGCAAGCAAGCAAGCAAGCAAGCAAGCAAGCAAGCAGGCAGGAAACAAGUAUUAUAACCUAAUACAGUACGUUUGGUCUCCUCUAUAGAUCCUGCUACUGUUUAUUCGCCCAUAUGGAUACGCCACCCACGGAUAGCUCAUCUUCCCCCCAGUUCCCUAACGUCAGAGACAGAGACGGGUGAUUGGCGCUCAUAUGACCUUAUGCAGUUGCGAGCGCCGUAAAACCUCUACUAUAAAAAAGACAGGUGUUACCUGCAGGCGGUCUGAAAAGGUUUGGGACUUGGCGUGUCCUCUGCCGUCGAUCUGGCGUCAGCACUUGCCAUGCACGACCAUCUCUCUCACCUGAUGGUCCCCCCGUCCCCUCCCCAGUCACGUGACUACAUGGCGGCUAGCUUCAUGGGCCACCCUAAGCAGCAGUCGGAACAUCUACAACAGCAUCAGCAGCAGCAGCA